CUAAAACACCUUCAGCAUAAAAUGAUUCAUAUACUAAAAAGUGUAGCUAUCAGCACGAACAGUUUUGCCACAAGAAUUGGACUACACUUGCAGCAGAACAACACAUUAGACACCAACAGGAAGAACUUUAAGACUCUCUGGUGAAACCAUUGCUAAUCACUGCCCUAAGUGCCUAAUCUAGUCAAAUCAUGAAAGCUUUGAAAACUACAGUAGAAUUGCCUGCAAGGAUGCGAAAGAGUAUGAAUCCCAACCAAGCUACUGUAACAGGUAUCCAGAACUAACAACAUAGAGAUUAAGAUAAAACAACGAAAAAGAGGCCAAAAAAUCUAAGCAGAAAAUAGUUCAUGAGCGCUCCAGUUUUAUCUCCGUUUUGCAAGGUGUAGACACACUACAGCUCCUGCCCCCAAGGCCACGACUCCAAUCACAGCCGCCGCCCCCAGGGCACGAGAGUGCAUCGGAGGUACCCCAGCAUCUUCCUUGACAUCAAUAUCAAAGCUUUUCUCCUCCUCCUCAUCCUCCUCCUCCUCCUCCUCCUCCUCCUCCAAGUUAGAUGUUAAUUCAGCGAUCUUCGUCUUCAGCUCCUCUUCCUUAGCGGCAAACUUCUCCGCCUCAUCCCUUUCUUUCUGCUUGGCGACCGUCAGUUCCUCCUCGAGAACCUUGACCUUGGUCUCGAGUUCCUUGACCUUGACCGUGAACGUGGCUUCGAGAUCCUUGAUGUUGCUCUCGAGAAGGCACACCCUUUCCUCGUGUUCCGUGGCGGCAAGGUUGGCGGUGGACAAGUCGUCAAGCGUGACGCGGAGUUCGCCCUCGAGGUGGCUGGCCUGGCCAGCUACGGCCUUGAGGUCUGACUCGGCGCCGGCGAGUUUCUCCCGGGCGUCCGAGAGGUCGCGGAGAAGGUCCGACCGUUCUCGCUGGAGGUUGGACCGCUCGCUCUUCAGCGCCCGGAUCUCGUCGAGCAGGAGCUCGACCGCCGCAUCACGGUCGCCAGCAGCGGCGGCAGUAUCCAUCUCGCCAUAAACAGCCGCCUCCUGCUCGCCGUUGGCGGCCGCCUCCUUACCGGCCGCCUGCUCGACGCCAUAGGCGGAGGCUUCCUUAUAGGUCGUCUCCACUUCGCGGUCAGCGGCGGCGGGGGCGGGGUAGGCGAGGGUUUCAUCGGCCAUGGUAGUCGGCUGGAGAAGUUCUUCCCGUGGAGGAGCGUGCGGAAGGAGACGACAGGAGACCAAAACCUAACGGACGCAGGCGAAAUGUGGCGAUAUUUAUGGGAAGACCACAGUGACUAACGAACGGUGGAUGAUCAUCUCCGAGAUGCUGCACCGACGAUCGUUUAUAUAACGCGAUACUUUUCUUUCUC
rnacentral:lncRNA from 1 species